AUUCUGGUUGAUCCUGCCAGUAGUUAUAUGCUUGUCUCAAAGAUUAAGCCAUGCAUGUCUAAGUACACACGAAUUAAAAGUGAAACCGCAAAAGGCUCAUUAUAUCAGUUAUGGUUCCUUAGAUCGUUAACAGUUACUUGGAUAACUGUGGUAAUUCUAGAGCUAAUACAUGCAAUUAAAACAUGAACCUUAUGGGACAUGUGCUUUUAUUAGGCUAAAACCAAGCGAUCGCAAGAUCGUUAUAUUGGUUGAACUCUAGAUAACAUGCAGAUCGUAUGGUCUUGUACCGACGACAGAUCUUUCAAAUGUCUGCCCUAUCAACUUUUGAUGGUAGUAUCUAGGACUACCAUGGUUGCAACGGGUAACGGGGAAUCAGGGUUCGAUUCCGGAGAGGGAGCCUGAGAAACGGCUACCACAUCUAAGGAAGGCAGCAGGCGCGUAAAUUACCCACUCCCAGCUCGGGGAGGUAGUGACGAAAAAUAACAAUACAGGACUCAUAUCCGAGGCCCUGUAAUUGGAAUGAGUACACUUUAAAUCCUUUAACAAGGACCAAUUGGAGGGCAAGUCUGGUGCCAGCAGCCGCGGUAAUUCCAGCUCCAAUAGCGUAUAUUAAAGUUGUUGCGGUUAAAACGUUCGUAGUUGUACUUGUGCUUCAUACGGGUAGUACAACUUACAAUUGUGGUUAGUACUAUACCUUUAUGUAUGUAAGCGUAUUACCGGUGGAGUUCUUAUAUGUGAUUAAAUACUUGUAUUUUUUCAUAUGUUCCUCCUAUUUAAAAACCUGCACUAGUGCUCUUAAACGAGUGUUAUUGUGGGCCGGUACUAUUACUUUGAACAAAUUAGAGUGCUUAAAGCAGGCUUCAAAUGCCUGAAUAUUCUGUGCAUGGGAUAAUGAAAUAAGACCUCUGUUCUGCUUUCAUUGGUUUUCAGAUCAAGAGGUAAUGAUUAAUAGAAGCAGUUUGGGGGCAUUAGUAUUACGCACGAGAGGUGAAAUUCUUGGACCGUCGUAAGUCCAAAAUUAGCGAAAGCAUUUCCAAAGAUGUUUUCAUUAAUCACAGAACGA
rfam:Drosophila sechellia strain Rob3c scaffold_5569 genomic scaffold, whole genome shotgun sequence.